UCGGUUGCUAAGGCGCGGUCUUGAGGGCUGUAGUCGGGCCGUGAACGUCAUCUCCAUCCACUAAUCGAGUUAUCCAGCGCCUCUCAUCGAAAGAUCAGGCCAAAAACCCUAGCGGGCUCGCAUCAGUUGGUAAUCAGAGCAAGGUUCUUCGGUGAGAGACUUCUAAUCCUUUGCUGUUUUUAAUUAAUUUCCUAUAGUCCAGAAAAGCCAAAAAAAUAUAGUAGAUUAGUUUUUCCAUAAUCCUAUUAAACCUUUGUGCCUUGGCUAGUACCGUUUUAGUUAGGGCUUGUUGAAUUUGCGUUGCUUCGGUUUGUGUCGAGUUGCUGGUCUUAGUGUCUAGUCCUUUAGAGUUUCGAGUUCUUGUCACCAUCUAUACACAGCCGAGUAUUACCAUAUCUUCUCUCUGUCGAAUCUGUUGCGAAGUCUGAAUUGAACUGUGGUCAUGGUCCGGAUCGAGUAGAGUUCCAAUCUGAGUUCAAAAAGAAAGAUAACUCUACUUGUUCGGCCUUACUCUAGAGAGAGAGAGAGAGUGUGGAGCGAAAAAAGUGUGUGGAGCGAAUUGCUCUUUUGUAUUCUUUUGUUCAUAUAAUCAGUUUUGGAGGUUGCCCACAAAAAAAGAAAAAAAAGAAAAGAGAAAAGAUUCAAAAAAAAGAGGCUGUUUUUCAUAUUGAUUUUAGGUUUGUCCCACCUUGUUUUCGGGGGUGUGCUGUGGUUUUCCUUUGUGUCCAGGCUCGCGUCUCUAGCACGGUCUAGCCUAGGACCAGCACAGUACCAUCGUCGAACGCUUAUUCAGCUCGCUUUUAUAACUAACGUGGUGCUAGUUCGUUCCUUGUUUCAGCCCACCUAUAGCUCCACAUACUCUACAGCUUGACAGGUCUUGUGCUGCAGCACCGAUACACUUCGUCCAUUGCUAUACACUUGUUGGCAGACGACCCCUCCUGUCAAGCAAGAUAAGAAUUGGUAAGAACUUGUGUUACAGGUUGAGUGUGAGCGACUUGCUAUAGCUACAUCCUAGUAGUUGUAGGGAUUUUAUUUCUUCACUUGCUUUUUGUUGUCUUUGUCUUUGAACCAUGCC
rnacentral:lncRNA from 1 species